AUUGAACGCUGGCGGCAGGCCUAAUACAUGCCAGUCGAGCGGAUGAAGGGAGCUUGCUCCUGGAUUCAGUGGCGGACGGGCGAGUAAUGCCUAGGAAGCUGCCUGGCAGUGGGGGAUAACGUCCGGUAACGGGCGCUAAUACCGCAUACGUCCUGAGGGAGAAAGUGGGGGAUCUUCGGACCUCACGCUAUCAGAUGAGCCUAGGUCGGAUUAGCUAGUUGGUGAGGUAAAGGCCUACCAAGGCGACGAUGCGUAACUGGUCUGAGAGGAUGAUCAGUCACACUGGAACUGAGACACGGUCCAGACUCCUACGGGAGGCAGCAGUAGGGAAUAUUGCACAAUGGGCGAAAGCCUGACGGAGCAAUGCCGCGUGAGUGAUGAAGGUCUUCGGAUUGUAAAACACUUUAAGUUGGGAGGAACGAAAGUAAGUUAAACUCUUGCUGUUUUGACGUUACCAACACAGUAAGCCCCGGCUAACUUCGUG
rnacentral:rRNA from 1 species